rnacentral:rRNA from 1 species
ACGAACGCUGGCGGCGUGCUUAACCCCUGCAAGUCGAACGGUGAAGCGCCUUCCUUUUUGGUGGGUGUGGAUGAGUGGCGAACGGGUGAGUAACACGUGAGUAACCUGCCCCCUUCUUCUGGAUAACCGCAUGAAAGUGUGGCUAAUACGGGAUAUUCUGGGUCUGUCGCAUGAUGGGUCUGGGUAAGAUAUUGUUUCGGUGGGGGAUGGGCUCGCGGCCUAUCAGCUUGUUGGUGGGGUGAUGGCCUACCAAGGCGGUGACGGGUAGCCGGCCUGAGGGGGUGGACGGACACACAGGGACGGAGACACGGACAAGACGCAUACGAGAGGCAGCAGUGGGGAAUAUUGCACAAUGGGCGCAAGCCUGAUGCAGCGACGCCGCGUGAGGGAUGGAGGCCUUCGGGUUGUGAACCUCUUUCGCCAGUGAAGCAGGCCUGACUCGUUUGUGGGUGGGUUGACGGUAGCUGGAUAAGAAGCGCCGGCUAACUACGUG